GGGGGACGGAGAAGGCUAUGUUGGCCGGGCGACGGUUGUCCCGGUUUAAGCGUGCAGGUGUGUGUUCCAGGAAAAUCCGGUUCACUUUAACACUGAGGCGUGACGACGAGGCACUACGGUGCUGAAGCAACAAAUGCCCUGCUUCCAGGAAAAGCCUCUAAGCCUCAGGUAACAUCAGAUCGUACCCGAAACCGACACAGGUGGUCAGGUAGAGAAUACCAAGGCGCUUGAGAGAACCCGGGUGAAGGAACUAGGCAAAAUGGUGCCGUAACUUCGGGAGAAGGCACGCUGACACGUAGGUGAAGCGGUUUACCCGUGGAGCUGAAGUCAGUCGAAGAUACCAGCUGGCUGCAACUGUUUAUUAAAAACACAGCACUGUGCAAACACGAAAGUGGACGUAUACGGUGUGACGCCUGCCCGGUGCCGGAAGGUUAAUUGAUGGGGUCAGCGCAAGCGAAGCUCCUGAUCGAAGCCCCGGUAAACGGCGGCCGUAACUAUAACGGUCCUAAGGUAGCGAAAUUCCUUGUCGGGUAAGUUCCGACCUGCACGAAUGGCGUAAUGAUGGCCAGGCUGUCUCCACCCGGGACUCAGUGAAAUUGAACUCGCUGUGAAGAUGCAGUGUACCCGCGGCAAGACGGAAAGACCCCGUGAACCUUUACUAUAGCUUGACACUGAACACUGGUCCUUGAUGUGCAGGAUAGGUGGGAGGCUUUGAAGUGUGGACGCCAGUCUGCAUGGAGCCGUCCUUGAAAUACCACCCUUUAAUGGCUGGUGUUCUAACGUAGACCCGUGAACCGGGUUGCGGACAGUGUCUGGUGGGUAGUUUGACUGGGGCGGUCUCCUCCUAAAGCGUAACGGAGGAGCACGAAGGUUGGCUAAUCCUGGUCGGACAUCAGGAGGUUAGUGCAAUGGCAUAAGCCAGCUUGACUGCGAGCGUGACGGCGCGAGCAGGUGCGAAAGCAGGUCAUAGUGAUCCGGUGGUUCUGAAUGGAAGGGCCAUCGCUCAACGGAUAAAAGGUACUCCGGGGAUAACAGGCUGAUACCGCCCAAGAGUUCAUAUCGACGGCGGUGUUUGGCACCUCGAUGUCGGCUCAUCACAUCCUGGGGCUGAAGUAGGUCCCAAGGGUAUGGCUGUUCGCCAUUUAAAGUGGUACGCGAGCUGGGUUUAGAACGUCGUGAGACAGUUCGGUCCCUAUCUGCCGUGGGCGCUGGAGAACUGAGGGGGGCUGCUCCUAGUACGAGAGGACCGGAGUGGACGCAUCACUGGUGUUCGGGUUGUCAUGCCAAUGGCACUGCCCGGUAGCUAAAUGCGGAAGAGAUAAGUGCUGAAAGCAUCUAAGCACGAAACUUGCCCCGAGAUGAGUUCUCCCUGAGACUACAAGUCUCCUGAAGGAACGUUGAAGACGACGACGUUGAUAGGCCGGGUGUGUAAGCGCAGCGAUGCGUUGAGCUAACCGGUACUAAUGAACCGUGAGGCUUAACCUUACAACGCCGAAG
rnacentral:rRNA from 2 species